UUAACUGAGGCUCUGGAGACUUACUGGAGUUUGAAGCUCGAAAUAGCUUGAGACAUCUCUAGUGUUGGAUUCUCUCUCCUCUAUUUUCUCCUUUCCCUAUUUUUAUUUUAUUCUUGUCUUCUUGUUUUUAUUUUCUUUUGUAUUAUUCUUCUUAUGAAUGAUUUUUUUUCUUUUCUCUUGUUUUUACUCUUCAUUCAUCAUUUU
rnacentral:lncRNA from 1 species